rnacentral:rRNA from 1 species
UCCUACGGGAGGCAGCAGUGAGGAAUAUUGGACAAUGGAGGCAACUCUGAUCCAGCCAUGCCGCGUGCAGGAAGAAUGCCCUAUGGGUUGUAAACUGCUUUUAUUUGGGAAUAAACCUUCUUACGUGUAGGAAGCUGAAUGUACCAAACGAAUAAGGACCGGCUAACUCCGUGCCAGCAGCCGCGGUAAUACGGAGGGUCCAAGCGUUAUCCGGAAUCAUUGGGUUUAAAGGGUCCGCAGGCGGAUUUGUAAGUCAGUGGUGAAAUCCUACAGCUUAACUGUAGAACUGCCAUUGAUACUGCAAGUCUUGAAUUCGGUCGAAGUGGGCGGAAUAUGUCAUGUAGCGGUGAAAUGCUUAGAUAUGACAUAGAACACCGAUAGCGAAGGCAGCUCACUAGGCCUGGAUUGACGCUCAGGGACGAAAGCGUGGAGAGCGAACAGGAUUAGAUACCCUGGUAGUCCACGCCGUAAACUAUGAUUACUCGUUUUCGGCGAUAUACAGUCGGAGACUAAGCGAAAGUGAUAAGUAAUCCACCUGGGGAGUACGAUCGCAAGGUUGAAACUCAAAUGAAUUGACGG